AGCAGCCGCGGUAAUUCCAGCUCCAAUAGCGUAUAUUAAAGUUGUUGCAGUUAAAAAGCUCGUAGUUGAAUUUCGGGAUCAAUAUAUCGGUCGUGCCUUGGUACGUACUGGUAUCAUUGGUUUCUCCUUUCUGACGAACCAUGAUGUCAUUAAUUUGGUGUUAUGGGAAGUUAGGACUGUUACUUUGAAAAAAUUAGAGUGUUUAAAGCAGGCUUUGGCUUGAAUACAUUAGCAUGGGAUAAUGAAAUAGGACGUUCGAACCUAUUUUGUUGGUUUCUAGGAUCAACGUAAUGAUUAAUAGGGAUAGUUGGGGGCAUUAGUAUUCAAUUGUCAGAGGUGAAAUUCUUGGAUUUAUUGAAGACUAACUACUGCGAAAGCAUUUGCCAAGGAUGUUUUCAUUAAUCAAGAACGAAAGUUAGGGGAUCGAAGACGAUCAGAUACCGUCGUAGUCUUAACCAUAAACUAUGCCGACUAGGGAUCGGAUGAUGUUAAUUUUUUAAUGACUCAUUCGGCGCCUUAC
rnacentral:misc_RNA from 1 species